UACGGAGGGUGCAAGCGUUAUCCGGAAUCAUUGGGUUUAAAGGGUCCGCAGGCGGAUUUAUAAGUCAGUGGUGAAAGCCCGUUGCUUAACAACGGAACUGCCAUUGAUACUGUAAGUCUUGAAUUCGAUCGAAGUGGGCGGAAUAUGACAUGUAGCGGUGAAAUGCUUAGAUAUGUCAUAGAACACCGAUAGCGAAGGCAGCUCACUAGGUCUGGAUUGACGCUCAGGGACGAAAGCGUGGGGAGCAAACAGG
rnacentral:rRNA from 1 species